CGCCGAUCCCAGCCUCUGGGCGCUGGCGGUCCGGGGCGCUCCCUGGGGUCGGGAGGCUGAGGCUCGUCGAGUGGUGCAGCCGUGGGCGCGACUGGGCUCCCGCGGGGGCGGGCCCCCGAAACAGUGACCCUCUGCGUGGGACGGUGACCCUCGCCGUCGUGACCCCUUACGGUAGUAGCCGAGAGGUCUGCAGGCCACCAUGCAUGUCAGGCAACUACUUUCCAUUGGGCUGCAUUUCCGCAGAGUGGCAGCUGCUGGAGUCCUGACGUUUCCUAUCGGAAAAGGAAAGGAAAUUUUUGUUAACUGAUUUUCAGGAAAGAAGCUCCCAAAGUAGAACAAGGGCCUGUGUGCCUUUGUGUCCUCACCAAUGUCACACGGCCCUGGCACCUAGCAAGGUACUCCAGUUCCCUUUCAACCAUUCCACAUUCUAUCCUUUCAAAAUAACUAGUCCUUUCAUUCCCCUUUUUAAAUAGAAAUGAAAUUAGUUUUCAUUAAUUAGAAGACUUCCCAAUUAAACCGUUUCUCGUGUUGCACACUUAUUCCUGAAACGAUUUUUUUGAAACUUAAGCUUAGCGUUGAAAAAAAAAAAAACACCUAAGGUUCGACACAAGGGAGGCCGAUACUGUGGGAGUGGGAGCCGCGGGGAGAAGCAGCUUCCUGUCCAGGCUCACACCAAGUUCCUUAUACCUGAGGCCAUCCGCGUGAGUGAGUUCAUCAGGAUCAUCAGAAGGGGCUGACAGCUCAAUACUAAUCAAGCCUUCCCACCGUUGUUGAUCGAUGUAGCACGGUUGAAAAGAGCUCUGGACGUGGAGGAGGGAACACUAGGAAUGUAUCAACUGCUACUGAACCAUGUAGUUAACAAUGGUUAAGACGCUCCAAGUUCUGCCGGCGCCGUCCUGCUCCUGACCGCGGCGGUCUCACCGCCACCCUGCGGAAGUGAGAAGCAGCCGCGGGUCUCUUCUCUCCCACAACAGCCACGUUCCUCUCCGGAAUCUACUUUAUCGUCACAUCCUUAGCUCUUUGGCGAAGUUCAGAACAAACAAAGGACAUUGAUGUGACACCAUUGUGCCAAAUCUGGCGAAAUCUCAGUGGCAGGGUUGGAGCAACGGUCGCUGCAACCGUCUACACCUUAUGUGGAGGCGGAAGUCCUCUCUGAAGGUCAGUGUCAAUGCCCAAGGAGAGACGGGUAACGUGGCCAAACCUGUGAUCGCGCCUGCUGCGUGCUGUGAUUCCGUCCGACACAUUUAGUGGGGAUGAUACUCCGAUUCCUUCAGCUCAUUGGGAUUUACUGGCUUUUUACUACAAUAAAAGUGGUUGUGUCACUGUCGCUA